CUUCUUUUGGAGUUUUCUGCUGUGAGCCUAGGACACAAGACUCCAGAUUCUGAUGACUCACAGCAGCUGCUCAACACUACCAGAAUGCAACUACCAACUCCAGGACACAGAGGAGCAUAGGGACAGUGGUCUGACAGGUGACCAUGCUCAUCAGGAGCAAGCACCAGUGACUUGCAAGCUUCUUGAUGGAGCCAGAACUGUGACUUAAUUGUGUCUUGCUGUAGACAAGAAGCUCAUUUUGAGUCCCCAGGAAUUUAAGAGCAGAAUAUGAACAAUAAUUCAAUACAGAAUGAAGCUGUAGGUGUUUUACCAGGAAGAGCACUAGCUCCUCAUCAACAAAAAGCGUAUCUUGAAUCCAUACAGCUCCUGUCCUUGCAUUUCUGUCAGAAAGAUAUCUUAGUACAAACAUACAAAUAACUGAAUUCAAAAUGUAUUUAAACUUGAUUUCUCUUAAGUAUGAAUGGCAUACUCAAAAUGUCAGCUUCCCCACUUUCUACAUCAACUCAAUUUUAUUUUAAGUCCACUGAGUCAAGCACCUGUGCUCUCUGCUGCGUGCACACACACAGCCACGGAGGCAGCAGGUGAGGCUCCCAUUGCAGACUUCUUGCAGUGGAGGGCACAAACAACAGGGGGGCAGCUGUUAAGACAGUUGAAAUGCCAGUCCGUGCACACACUGAUGAAAAAGAAGAGUCCUGCAUGCAAGAGUAAGCCGACAAGCUGCCAGCUGGACUGUGCUGCUCCAUGAUAUCAGCAAUACAGGAGCUAAAAUGCAAUCACAAGUGGUGUUGCCUGCUCUUCUAUCAACCUCUUCAUGCAGAAGCUGUGUUCCAAGAGGAAAAUGAAUGGUCUUUGACAAGGAAAAGCUAUGCUUCCUUUUUCUCAAGCAUCGCUCAUAGUGUUUCUAAGGUUUCUGAAUAUGAUGUAGGUUAUUAGCACUCACUGCACCAUUUGUGACUACAAAAUGUCACUAGUCAAUAUUUUUCCCAUGUUCCCCUUUCCUUGCUGCAGUCUGUGAUUAACACUUGAUAUUUCAAGAGAAUACUCAGCCUGCAGUUACUGCUUUGCUUUCAUAUUUUUUCUCCUUGUUUAUCUUGCUGUAUUCUUGAAAUUGCUUUGCUUCUUGGGGACUUAGAAAAAUCCAGUUCUAUGGUGGCAUUUUAAAAACAACUUAUCUGGGCUUCCUGGCACUGUGACAGACAGAGUGAACUCAGACAUGCACAUCUGCUUGCUUUCUAGUGACUCACUGCAGGUAUUCCAGUUGUUGGCCUAUGAAACGAAUAAGGUUGUAGGACUGUAUCCUUGCAGCUGACCCAGCACCAGGCAGACCUCCUUGUUGAGAUCGCACAUGCUUGCUCUCAGGGACCCUACACAUCUCCUUAAAUCAAGCUCUGAUUUGAACUCUUUAGAUAGAAUCUAAUACAACAUUGAUAUAUGAGAUUGAGAACAUCUGAGAGAUAGGGAUCGCAGGACGUAGUGACAAAUGUAUCCACCGUGAUGAUGCCAAAUUAUAGGUAUUGCCUUCACAUCUGUACUGUAUGGUGGCAGAGAAUGCACAUCUGAUAGUGCUAUCAGGUGGAGCUACCCUCCUGUAAACCCAUGACAGGAUUCUCACACAAGUAAUACAAAUUAGAGUGAAGAAGGAAGAGAAGGUUGUUUUUGGCAAGUGUAUAGUUUAGAAUUGUGCCAGAGCUCUGAAACGAGGAAAAAGCAGCAUGAGUAUUCAGCUGUAUUUUCAAGCUGUCUGCCUUUAACCUUGUUUAACUUUCCAUGAACAUUUGGAAAACUCCUAGCACGGUGUUCUAUGAUUAUCAAUAUUUAUGUAGAGCAAGGGCUAAGUUUUUAUGCUCAAAAAUUUAUACAAAGUGAAUUUUAUAUUUGUUUUCCAUAAACAUCAGUAUCAGAAGCCUGGUUGUAGCAUUAGCACUGUGCCAUCAGGAAGCAGAAACAACACUGCAUGCCUAGUGCAACCCAUCACUGUUAAGCAAUACAGACAAUACUCCAGAAGAGAUCUGUAGAGUGCAUGAAUCAUAGAAUAACAGCACAAAUCUGCAGAAACAGUCAUCUGUAUAUAGGCUUUCUGUCAAUGGAGAAAAGGAGCAAGAUUUAUCAUGUUCAAUUUAGGUAUGAAUUAUUCAUCCUGCUCUUUUGGCAGACUUGCUUUCAGCAUUAUUUUCAUUUUACAAUAUACUAAAUUUAUUCAAGCUACUAAGCAGCUAAUAUAUAAUUAUUAUAAAUGAUCUUAUCAGUGUACUGAGAGCUUCUGUUCUCUUUUUUACUAGGAAAUAGUUAAGAAGCAUAGUUUUUCUGCAGAGGUAAUAAAGCCAGCUAAGAAUUAGUGGGCAGACCCAUUAUUGUCUCCAUUUUUCUGAAGGUAAACCGAAGACGAAAGAAAAACUUUUAAAUGUUGACCAUUUUCA